rnacentral:rRNA from 1 species
UACGUAGGGCGCAAGCGUUGUCCGGAAUUAUUGGGCGUAAAGAGCUCGUAGGCGGCUUGUCACGUCGGUUGUGAAAGCCCGGGGCUUAACCCCGGGUCUGCAGUCGAUACGGGCAGGCCAGAGUGUGGUAGGGGAGAUCGGAAUUCCUGGUGUAGCGGUGAAAUGCGCAGAUAUCAGGAGGAACACCGGUGGCGAAGGCGGAUCUCUGGGCCAUUACUGACGCUGAGGAGCGAAAGCGUGGGGAGCGAACAGG